rnacentral:rRNA from 1 species
AGGGGGACUGCGGAGGAUCAUUAACGAGUUUUGAAGGGGUUGUUGCUGGCCUUCCGAGGCAUGUGCACGCCCUGCUCAUCCACUCUACACCUGUGCACUUACUGUAGGUUGGCGUGGGUUUCUAGCCUCCGGGUUGGAAGCAUUCUGCCGGCCUAUGUACACUACAAACUCUUAAAGUAUCAGAAUGUAAACGCGUCUAACGCAUCUUAAUACAACUUUCAGCAACGGAUCUCUUGGCUCUCGCAUCGAUGAAGAACGCAGCGAAAUGCGAUAAGUAAUGUGAAUUGCAGAAUUCAGUGAAUCAUCGAAUCUUUGAACGCACCUUGCGCUCCUUGGUAUUCCGAGGAGCAUGCCUGUUUGAGUGUCAUGAAAUUCUCAACCCAUAAAUCCUUGUGAUCUAUGGGCUUGGAUUUGGAGGCUUGCUGGCCCUAGCGGUCGGCUCCUCUUGAAUGCAUUAGCUUGAUUCCGUGCGGAUCGGCUCUCAGUGUGAUAAUUGUCUACGCUGUGACCGUGAAGCGUUUUGGCAAGCUUCUAACCGUCCAUUAGGACAAUUUUAUAACAUCUGACCUCAAAUCAGGUAGGACUACCCGCUGAACUUAAGCAUAUCUAAAGGGGGGAAGAAAC